rnacentral:RNase_P_RNA from 1 species
GGGUCGGACAGUCGCGGGCGCAGCGCCGAAAGGCCGCGCAUGAGGAAAGUCCGGGCUCCACAGGGCAAGGAUAACAGGUAACGCCUGCCGGGGGUGACCCCAGGAAAAGUGCAACAGAGAGAUACCGCUGCGGUUUUUCGCAGUAAGGGUGGAAAGGUGCGGUAAGAGCGCACCCGACGGCUCGGAAGUGUCCGUCGAUGUAAACUCUAUCCGGAGCAACACCGCAAAGAGAGCAACGCUUGCCCGGCGGCUCUCGAAUGGGUGGCUGGAGCGUAUCGGCAACGGUACGCCUAGAUAGAUGACUGUCAAGACAGAACCCGGCUUACAGACCCGAUC